rnacentral:rRNA from 1 species
UUAACUGGGACAAAUAACUGAUUAUUUGACC